rnacentral:rRNA from 1 species
AUGCCUAAUCUUGCACAAAUUUCUUUUAAAGGAAAUCAUUUGAGUGGCCGAAUACCACCCCAAAUGUUCAAUAACACGCCUGCCUUGAAAUACAUCCACUUCGGAAACAACAGUCUAUCGGGUCCUAUACCUGAUGGUAUUUCAUCCCUAUCCAUGCUGGAGUUGCUCAACUUGCAGUUCAAUCACCUCUCAGGCCCUGUCCCGCAAGCCAUAUACAACAUGUCCAACCUGCAUGUCUUGCUACCGUACAACAACCUAACCGGUCCUAUUCCAGACAACCGAAGUUUCAGCCUACCAAUGUUGCAACAAAUUUCCCUUGGCGUGAACAAAUUCUCUGGACCAUUUCCAUCUGCGCUUGCAACAAGCCAGUACCUAGAAAUACUUUAUUUGGGCCGUAAUAACCUUCUUGGCUCGAUCCCAGCUGCUCUUACCAACCUCACUAGUCUCACCAUGCUAGACCUCCCUUCCUGCAACUUGAAAGGAGAGAUUCCACCAGAAAUUGGUCUGCUCCAUCAACUUUCUCAUCUGGGCCUUGCAAGCAAUCAAUUGGCAGGUUCAAUCCCUGCUUCCCUUGGCAAUUUAUCCAAAUUGUAUUCCCUAGAUUUGAAAAGAAAUCUAUUGUCCGGUUUAGUACCAGCAGCACUAGGGAACAUUCCAUCCUUGACUAGGCUUGUUCUGAUUGGAAACAGUUUAGAGGGGAACCUAGACUUCUUGUCGUCCCUCUCCAAUUGCAGACAACUUCAGUACCUUGUCAUAUGGGGUAAUUUUUUCACUGGCGCCAUCCCUGACCAUGUGGGGAACCUCUCUACACGACUCAUCUUAUUUGAUGCGGCUAACAACAAGAUAACAGGCAGACUUCCAUCAACAGUGUCAAACUUAACCAAUCUUCAAUGGCUAGAUCUUUCUACCAACCUACUCACCGAUGAAAUCCCAGAAUCUUUCACUAUGAUGGAAAAUCUUGUGUAUCUUGAUCUCGCCCGAAAUAACAUUUUAGGCCCUAUUCCAACACAAAUCGGUAAGCUUGGCGCAAUACAACGAUUGUUUCUACAAAGAAAUAGACUCAUAGGCUCCAUACCAAUCAGCUUUGGUAAUCUUAGUAGCAUAGAAACCAUCGACUUGUCCAAUAACCAACUAAAUUCCACUAUACCUCCAAGCUUAUUCCAUCUUGAUAAGCUUAUUCAAUUGAAUCUUUCUUACAAUUCUUUUGUUGGUGCUUUACCAGCUGAUGUUACAGGGCUAACACAAAUCAAUCUAAUCGACAUUUCUUCCAACUUCUUGAUUGGAAGUAUCCCAGAAUCAUUUGGAAAACUUGUGAUGCUUAUUUACCUAAAUUUAUCACACAACUCGUUCGAGGGCACAAUUCCACACAAACUUGGAACGCUAACUAGCUUAGCAUCAUUGGACAUCUCCUCCAACAACCUAUCAGGUACCAUUCCCAUGUUCUUUGCCAAUUUCACCGAAUUGACUACCGUAAACCUCUCCUUCAAUAGGCUAUCAGGUACCAUUCCCAUGUUCUUCUCAAAUAUCACAUUGCAAUCAUUGAUCGGGAAUGCUGGGCUAUGUGGGGCUCCACGCCUUGGUUUUUUGCCAUGUCAUGAGAAAUCUCACUCAACCAACAGACACUUACUAAAAUUUCUACUCCCAGUUGCCAUGGUAGCCUUUGGAACUAUUGCUAUUUUCAUAUACAUAUGGAUCAAAAACAAACUUAUGAAGAAGGGAGAGGUCAAUGCUUCUGUUGAUACAACUGAAGGCAUAGGCCAUCAGAUAGUUUCCUAUCAUGAGCUGAUCCGUGCAACUAAUAAUUUCAGUGACGAUAACAUGUUGGGCUCUAGAAGCUUCGGAAAAGUCUUUAAGGGCCAAUUGAGUAGUGGUUUGGAGGUUGCCAUAAAAGUUAUUCACAUGCAUAUUGAGAAGGCCAAGAGAAGCUUUGAUGCCGAGUGUCGUGUCCUUCGCAUGGCGCGACACCGCAACCUGAUAAAGAUAAUCAACACUUGUUCUAACCUUGAUUUCAGAGCACUUGUUCUUCAGUACAUGCCCAAUGGUAACUUAGAGACAGUCCUACACCGGUCUCAUGAUAUAGUUCAACUGGGUUUCCUUGAGAGACUGGGUAUCAUGCUUGACGUGUCGAUGGCAAUGGAGUAUCUGCAUGAUGAGAACCAUGAGGUGAUCCUUCAUCGUGACUUGAAACCUAGCAAUGUGUUGUUCGACGAGGACAUGACAGCGCAUGUGGCAGACUUUGGCAUUGCAAAGUUACUUCUAGUUGAUGAGAACUCUGUGGUAUGUGAAAGCAUGCCUGGAACAAUUGGAUACAUGUCACCAGAGUACGGUUCUCUUGGAAAAGCAUCACGGAAAAGUGACGUGUUCAGCUAUGGAGUCAUGAUCCUUGAAGUUUUUACAAGGAGGAGACCCACAGAUACAAUGUUCAGUGGGGAACUAAGCCUUAGGCAAUGGGUUCAGCGGGCAUAUCCCGCGGAGCUUGUCCAGGUCGUUGAUGGGCAGCUACUGCAAGGCUCCUCUCCUUCUAGGUGCAACAUACAUUAUGACUUUCUUGUGCAAGUAUUCGAGCUUGGUUUGUUAUGCUCCAGUGACUUGCCUCGUGAAAGAAUGACAUUCAAGGAUGUGGUAGUGAGAAUGGUGAAGAUCAAAGCCGAAUAUGUCAAAUGGAUAAAAAUGACAUCUGAUAUGGCACAAUGA